rnacentral:rRNA from 1 species
GGGUAACCUGCCCAACGAGAUCGGGAUAACACCUGGAAACAGAUGCUAAUACCGGAUAACAACAGAUGAUGCCUAUCAACUGUUUAAAAGAUGGUUCUGCUAUCACUCUUGGAUGGACCUGCGGUGCAUUAGCUAGUUGGUAGGGUAACGGCCUACCAAGGCGAUGAUGCAUAGCCGAGUUGAGAGACUGAUCGGCCACAUUGGGACUGAGACACGGCCCAAACUCCUACGGGAGGCAGCAGAA